GGAGGAAAAGAAACCAACAGGGAUUGCCCUAGUAACGGCGAGUGAAGCGGCAACAGCUCAAAUUUGAAAUCUGGCGCAAGCCCGAGUUGUAAUUUGUAGAGGAUGCUUCUGGGCAGCGGCCGUUCUAAGUUCCUUGGAACAGGACGUCAUAGAGGGUGAGAAUCCCGUAUGUGACCGGCGCGCACCCUCCACGUAGCUCCUUCGACGAGUCGAGUUGUUUGGGAAUGCAGCUCUAAAUGGGAGGUAAAUUUCUUCUAAAGCUAAAUACCGGCCAGAGACCGAUAGCGCACAAGUAGAGUGAUCGAAAGAUGAAAAGCACUUUGGAAAGAGAGUUAAAAAGCACGUGAAAUUGUUGAAAGGGAAGCGCUUGCAACCAGACUUCGCGGCGGUGUUCCGCCGGUCUUUUGACCGGUCUACUCGCCGCCGCGAGGCCAACAUCGUCUGGGGCCGCCGGAUAAGACCAUGGGAAUGUGGCUCCCUCGGAGUGUUAUAGCCCACGUGAUGCGGCUGGUCCCGGGCGAGGUCCGCGCUUCGGCAAGGAUGUUGGCGUAAUGGUUGCCAGCGGCCCGUCUUGAAACACGGACCAAGGAGUCUAACAUCUAUGCGAGUGUUCGGGUGUCAAACCCCUACGCGUAAUGAAAGUGAACGGAGGUGGGAGCUUCGGCGCACCAUCGACCGAUCCUGAUGUCCUCGGAUGGAUUUGAGUAAGAGCAUAGCUGUUGGGACCCGAAAGAUGGUGAACUAUGCCUGAAUAGGGUGAAGCCAGAGGAAACUCUGGUGGAGGCUCGCAGCGGUUCUGACGUGCAAAUCGAUCGUCAAAUUUGGGUAUAGGGGCGAAAGACUAAUCGA
rnacentral:rRNA from 1 species